rnacentral:rRNA from 1 species
UACGGGGGAUGCAAGCGUUAUCCGGAAUCAUUGGGCGUAAAGCGCCUGUAGGUUGUUUAAUAAGUCUGUUGUUAAAGACUGGGGCUUAACCCCAGGAAAGCAAUGGAAACUACUAGACUAGAGUAUGGCAGGGGUAGAGGGAAUUUCUAGUGUAGCGGUGAAAUGCGUAGAUAUUAGAAAGAACACCGGUGGCGAAAGCGCUCUACUGGACCAUUACUGACACUCAGAGGCGAAAGCUAGGGUAGCAAAAGGGAUUAGAUACCCCUGUAGUCCUAGCCGUAAACGAUGGAUGCUAGAUGUGGUAUAUUCUUACAGUAUCGUAGCUAACGCGUUAAGUAUCCCGCCUGGGGAGUACGAUCGCAAGGUUG